rnacentral:rRNA from 1 species
GGGGUAGUCGACCUACAAGCAGACGACCCGUGAACAUGUAACCACAACGGGGUGACCGUGAUAAGGGCCUCGGUCCUUAUCCCCUAACCCUUCCCGACGUGAGUUCGUGGUGUCUUUUUUGGGGCAUCAUGGAUUCCGUUGGACCAUAACAAAACCCCGGCACGGUAUGUGCCAAGGAAAACAAAAAUGAGAAGGACACUACCUGUUUCGCCCCGUUUGCGGUGUGCGUACAGGUCGUGGCCUCCUUGGAAUCACAAACGACUCUCGGCAACGGAUAUCUCGGCUCACGCAUCGAUGAAGAACGUAGCAAAAUGCGAUACUUGGUGUGAAUUGCAGAAUCCCGUGAACCAUCGAGUUUUUGAACGCAAGUUGCGCCCGAAGCCAUCCGGCUGAGGGCACGCCUGCCUGGGCGUCACGCAUCGCGUCGCUCCCCACCAUACCUCCCCAACGGGUUGGCAUGGUGUUGGGGGCGGAUAAUGGCCUCCCGUGCUUGUGUUUCGGUUGGCCUAAAUAAGAGUUCCCUUCGGCGGACACACGACUAGUGGUGGUUGAAUAGACCCUCGUCUUUUGUUGCGUGUCGUGAGCUGUAAGGGUAGCCCUCAUCAAAGACCCCAUUGUAUCGUCUUCGGAUGAUGCUUCGACCGCGACCCCAGGUCAGGCGGGACUACCCGCUGAGUUUAAGCAUAUCAAAAGCCCGGAGGAAAA